CGAAAAGAAAAGAAAAGGGGAGAAACUAGAAAUAUUGUACAAAGUGGAGGGCUAUUUAUAAAUUGACAAGUUGGGAUCAGGAAUUGGGGUUUCGUUUUUGGGUUACUGAAAGGGAAACAAUCGAAGAAUUUGAGAAGCGAAGCGCACAACGCAAGCACAAGGGAGAGAAGAAAGAUCCUCUCUUUACACACUCUUACUUCCCUAACUUUUCUCGUUGCCAAGAAAUUCGCACCUCAGUUGAUAAUGAUUCAACAACUCAUGAAAGAUUGACAAAUGGAUCCUGCAGGCAAAAAAUUUGGGGGACCAAGAGAAUUGACAAGUGCUGUGGAUCUAUUAAAUCACUUCAAAUUACUUCCCCAUUUUGAGUUUUUCUGCAAGAGGCCACUUCCUGUUUCAAUUUCGGACACACACUAUUUACACAGCGUGAUAGGAGACGUAGAAAUUAGAAAAGGAGAUGGGAUGCAGUUGGAUCAACUUAUUCAGAGUACAUCUUCAUCCAGUGGUACAAGUUCUCGUAUACAGCUUUUGGACCUAGAUGUUCUAAAGGAUGCUUUUCAACUCAAGGAAACAGCUCCUAUUGAUUUGCCUGCUGCUGAGAAGGGGAUUCCAACGGUUGCAGGAAAAUCAAAAAGUGAGUCUAAAGACAAAGACAAGAAGCAUAAAAAACACAAAGACAGGGACAAAGAUAAGGACAAGGAGCAUAAGAAGCACAAGCAUCGUCAAAAAGAUCGAAGCAAAGACAAAGAAAAGGACAAAAAGAAGGAUAAAAGCAGGCAUCAUGAUUCCAGUGCUGAUCCCUCAAAGAAACACCAUGAGAAGAAAAGGAAGCAUGAUGGAGAUGGUGAUCUAAAUGAUGUGCACAAACACAAAAAAAGUAAGCAUAAGAGCUCAAAAAUUGAUGAAUUGGGGACAAUAAAGGUUGCAGGCUAAAAUGGUUACCUACUGUAGUUCUCUUCUUUUCCUCAAAUGGUUGUUGUCAUUUGUUAAAGUUUGUGGAGGGGGUCUUUCACUUGACAUUAUCAGAUUUCUUAAGGAAGUAUCAAUACAUGCGAUGUGUCAUUGGAGAUUGAUGUAAUUGACAUGGAUGAGUAGCUGGCAAGAAAGAUUUGUUCUCAUCUUUUUGGUCCCCUAAAUAAUAAAAAGUAUUUUUAUCAUGCUUUAGUUUUAUAUAUAUUUUGCAUAUUACACAACCAUUUUCACUACAAACUGAUAGGGAAAUAAUGGUGAUAAUAUUGGAAUUAUUUUGCUUCUAAAAUCUUUCCAUGAAAAAUAUUCUGUUAUGUGGUAACUAAUAUUCCUGUUGUGCUGACUGUUUAGUACGGUCUAUUAUUGCUUUUGCAUAGGAAUUUUGGAUGCUUAGGAAAAUGCUCCUGGCAGUUUUUGUGGGACACUUGGUUAUUGAAGCUAGAAAAACUAGCUAUUCCUAGGCUUUAAGAGCAUGGAUGUUGACGAUACAGAGAAGGAAGCAAAACAUUGGAAAGCCAUUCUACUUUUAGACAGAUGCAUAAAUGGUUUUUAUUUGUAAGAAAGGGAAGAGGAGGGUAGGUUGCAUGCUUAUGAAAAGUUCCAUCAUUAAUGACAUCAUUGAUCUGUCACAUAUUUCUAGAGCUUUGGAUGCAUUUUGUUCCCAAGAUUAGGUAGCAAAUUAUUCCAGAAACAACUUUUUGCUAAAAUUCAUGGAACCUAAAUGAGCACGGAGGGUGGGGGGAUCUUUGGCCUCGCUAAUUCUUGAGCUAUGUUUACUGUGGGUUAUUAAUAUCUUUGAUUUCCACCACACCCAAAUUUAAAAUCUUCAAAUUAUUGACCUGUGAAGGUAUUUGCUUUAUAUAUGCAGUAUAGUGUUUUUAAACUUGUCAAAUCUGAGGGUUUGUAGAUGUUUGGUUAUCAUAUGAGAAACUGUAAUUGGUCAUAGGUCGAUUGGAAUUAGGCUUGUUGUUUUCUGAUAACUUGCAGGAGGAAAUUGAGAUAACUAAUGGUGCUUAUUUUAUAUUUAAUAAUAGAGAUAUGUUUUAGUUGGGGAAGUGGUUUGGUGCAGUGUCAUUGAAACAGGGUAUAUAAUUUCUUAAACAAGUGUGAUGUAGAAUAUUGUGUAUUUACAAAAUUUAUCAAUUUUUAUAAUGAAUAUGUCACUGCAUGGUCUUAUGAAACCUUACCAGUCUUUCAGACAAUUGUGAUUAAUGAUGUUGAUGGAUGAUGUUCUCUCGAGUCUAGAGAAAGUUCAUCAUGUUUAAUCAGACAAUUGUGAUUAAUGGCAACUGCACCAAUAAUGAUUUCUACUGAUUUGAAUGUUUUAUAUAUACUGGGUCAGUGUGAUCAAGUCAUCAAACUGAGUUAAGCAUAGACACAACUCAUACAGGCGAUUGGAUAAUUACAUUGUUCAAGUUUAGACCUCAUUCUUGGGACCGGCAGUUGCUUUAGCACAAUCAGUCCUACAUAUAUUAUAUAUAUUAGAUUUAUUCUAAAUUAAUGCAAACAUGUGCUUAUGUUCUUCCCUUACACAUACUUAACUUUAUAAUGACAAUUAUCAGUAAAUUAACAUGUUGAUAUCUUCAUUUUUUCAUUCUAACAUGAUUAGUACAAAAUUAUGGUAUGGGUUUCAUGUUGGCAUCACUCGGCAGAUUCUCUCAUCUCUGUUAAUUACAUCAUGGACAUGGAACUGCAAACAUGUAAAAGACAAUAGAAGACACUGAAAAGUAACAAAAUGUGCCAAUGGAAAGCCAAGCUCUCCAGUGCCAAUUUAUAUGUUCCAUAACUAGAAAUGCUUAUAUUUUUAAUUUGUUUCAUGAUAACCAUUCUUGAUGGUUGCAGUAUACAUGAUACCCUCUAAUUUUAUGCAGAAUAGCUAGUGAUCUGACUAAAUAUUAUCAUGAAGGUGAAUUCACCUGAUGAAGGAAAAGGAUACAAGGUAAAAUUUGCUGAAAAUGAACCUUUUUUUCAAUUAACACUUAUCUGUUAUAAUUGCCAAUAUUUGCGAAACUUUGGUCCUUUUCCCAGUUUUUUGGCCCACUGAUAUCACAAAAUGUAUGCAUUACUUUAAUCUUCUUUGUAGAUUUUCCAGUUCAUAUAUUGAUAGUUUGAAUUAGCGUUAACAGAUUAUUUAGGAUGACUGAAUUAAGUGUGGAGGUUAUUACUUUCGCCCCAUAUCUUGUACUAAGUAGCAUGCCUCGCAUUAACAAUGACUGAAUGGUUCAGCACCAAACAAACUCUCGUUGGUUCCAAUAUUUUUGCAUACUAGGGUAAAUUGUUCAGAGUUCUUCAAUUUUAAAUGAAUUAUUUUAAGGUGCCCCUUUAUGGCUAUCAAGAGAUGGUUAUUUUAAACAGACAAGCCUCCUCUAAAAUAUCUAAAGUGGGAAGUAAUAGUGAUCGUGAUCUUAACUUCCUAAAUGAUUAAAGGGUGAAUAUAUUUUUUCUUCCUUACUUUAGAAGAACCUUUUCAUUUUACGUAA